rnacentral:rRNA from 1 species
AAGCCUACUCUAGCCCAAUCACACUCCNNNNNNNNNNNNNNNNNNNNNNNNNNNNNNNNNNNNNNNNNNNNNNNNNNNNNNNNNNNNNNNNAGGUGAUAGAAAAGACCUACUUGGCGCGAUAGAGACUUUGUACCGCAAGGGAAAGAUGAAAUAACAAUGAAAAACUAAGCAACAAACAGCAGAGAUAAACCCUUGUACCUUUUGCAUCAUGAUUUAGCAAGAACAACUAAGCAAAAUGAAUUUAAGCUUGCCACCCCGAAACCCAAGCGAGCUACUCGCAAGCAGCUACCCAUGAGCGAACCCGUCUCUGUUGCAAAAGAGUGGGACGACUUGCUAGUAGAGGUGAAAAGCCAAUCGAGCUGGGUGAUAGCUGGUUGCCUGUGAAAUGAAUCUCAGUUCUCUCUUGACCCCCCUCCCCAGACACCCAACUUUAAUCCUCAUGUAGAGGGCCAAGAGCAAUUUAAAGGGGGUACAGCCCCUUUAAAAAAGGAUACAACCUCUAUUAGCGGAUAAUUAUCCAAACACCCUAUCAAACUGUAGGCCCUUAAGCAGCCACCAACAAAGAGUGCGUCAAAGCUCUGCUUAUAAAAAUCCAAUAACAACAUGACUCCCUUCUCACCAACAGGCCAACCUAUACCGAUAGGAGUAUUAAUGCUAAAAUGAGUAACUAGGGACAUCCCUCCAAAGCGCAAACUUACACUAUCACAUUAUUAACAGACAAUAAACCUAUACCUCAAUUACAACAAGAUUAAGAUAUUAGACCCAUCACUGUUACCCCAACUAAGGAGCGCCUAACUAGAAAGAUUAAAAUCUGUAAAAGGAACUAGGCAAACUCAAGGCCCGACUGUUUACCAAAAACAUAGCCUUCAGCCCACCAAGUAUUGAAGGUGAUGCCUGCCCAGUGACAUAACGUUUAACGGCCGCGGUAUCCUAACCGUGCGAAGGUAGCGCAAUCAAUUGUCUCAUAAAUCGAGACUUGUAUGAAUGGCUAAACGAGGUCUUAACUGUCUCUUACAGAUAAUCAGUGAAAUUGAUCUUCCCGUGCAAAAGCGGGAAUCCUAUCAUAAGACGAGAAGACCCUGUGGAACUUAAAAAUCAGCGACCACCACAUACAAAUUUAAACCUACUAGGCUCACUACCUCUAAACACUGGUUCGCAUUUUUCGGUUGGGGCGACCUUGGAGAAAAACAGACCCUCCAAAAAUAAGACCAUAUCUCUUAACCAAGAGCAACCUCUCAACGUACUAACAGUAACCAGACCCAAUACAAUUGAUCAAUGGACCAAGCUACCCCAGGGAUAACAGCGCAAUCUCCUCUAAGAGCUCACAUCGACGAGGAGGUUUACGACCUCGAUGUUGGAUCAGGACAUCCUAAUGGUGCAGCCGCUAUUAAGGGUUCGUUUGUUCAACGAUUAAUAGUCCUACGUGAUCUGAGUUCAGACCGGAGCAAUCCAGGUCGGUUUCUAUCUAUGACGGACUUUCUCUAGUACGAAAGGACCGAGAAAGUGGGGCCAAUACUACAAGCACGCCCCCUCACUUAAGUAAUGCACUCAACUAAAUUACCAAAGGACACCCCACAUAUACCACUCCUAGAAAAGGAUCG